CAGAUCCUGAUGUGUUCGUUAUUUGCUUAACAGUUUUGACCGAACAAUCAAAUCGUCGGGAGCCCGUAUUCCGGCAUUGCUGGCACGCCCGUUUGGGACGCCAAACGUGCCGGAUAGGGCACCCACCUGCUCAGUGCGGGUUCAAAACGAUCUCCCAAAGACGGCACGAUCGGGAUCUGU
rnacentral:other from 1 species